rnacentral:rRNA from 1 species
AUUGAACGCUGGCGGCAGGCCUAACACAUGCAAGUCGAGCGGAUGAGGAAAGCUUGCUUUUCGAUUCAGCGGCGGACGGGUGAGUAAUGCCUAGGAAUCUGCCUGUUAGUGGGGGAUAACUCGGGGAAACUCGGGCUAAUACCGCAUACGUCCUACGGGAGAAAGUGGGGGAACUUCGGACCUCACGCUAACAGAUGAGCCUAGGUCGGAUUAGCUAGUAGGUGAGGUAAUGGCUAACCUAGGCGACGAUCCGUAACUGGUCUGAGAGGAUGGUCAGUCACACUGGAACUGAGACACGCUCCAGACUCCUACGGGAGGCAGCAGUGGGGAAUAUUGGACAAUGGGCGAAAGCCUGAUCCAGCCAUGCCGCGUGUGUGAAGAAGGUCUUCGGAUCGUAAAGCACUUUAAGUUGGGAGGAAGGGUAUUCACCUAAUACGUGGGUACUUUGACGUUACCAACAGAAUAAGCACCGGCUAACUCUGUGCCAGCCGCCGCCGUAAUAC